rnacentral:rRNA from 1 species
CCUACGGGAGGCAGCAGUGGGGAAUUUUGGACAAUGGGCGCAAGCCUGAUCCAGCAAUGCCGCGUGAGUGAAGAAGGCCUUCGGGUUGUAAAGCUCUUUUGUCAGGGAAGAAAAGGGAUUGGCUAAUAUCUGGUCCUCAUGACGGUACCUGAAGAAUAAGCACCGGCUAACUACGUGCCAGCAGCCGCGGUAAUACGUAGGGUGCAAGCGUUAAUCGGAAUUACUGGGCGUAAAGCGUGCGCAGGCGGUUUUGUAAGACUGUCGUGAAAUCCCCGGGCUUAACCUGGGAAUGGCGAUGGUGACUGCAAGGCUAGAGUUUGGCAGAGGGGGGUAGAAUUCCACGUGUAGCAGUGAAAUGCGUAGAUAUGUGGAGGAACACCGAUGGCGAAGGCAGCCCCCUGGGUCAAAACUGACGCUCAUGCACGAAAGCGUGGGGAGCAAACAGGAUUAGAUACCCUGGUAGUCCACGCCCUAAACGAUGUCUACUAGUUGUCGGGUCUUAAUUGACUUGGUAACGCAGCUAACGCGUGAAGUAGACCGCCUGGGGAGUACGGUCGCAAGAUUAAAACUCAAAGGAAUUGACGG